CGCUCCCUCAAAGGAAGUUGUGGGGAGCUGUGGGCCGGCCUGUUCUCGCUGAUAACGAGCGAUAGGACAAGAGGGGCCGCGGCCCCGCGGGGGGCGGUGUGGGCCGGGCGUGGGCGGGCGGAGCGGUGGGCGCUGCCCCGGCGAGGGCCCGACUUGUGGUGCGGGCAGGAGCGGCCCGAGCUUGGCCCCGCUCUGCUGCUGUCCGCCUCCCGCCGGGCGCGGCAGGGCCCGAUGGCGGGCGGGCUGGGGCCGCGGCUGCUGGCCUUGGCCUUGGCCUUGGGGCCGGCAGGUGUUUGGGCUGAAUUGAAGCUCGUGGAGUCUGGCGGAGGUCUGCAAGCAGCUGGAAACUCCAUGCAGCUCUCCUGCCAGGGAUCUGGACUCAGUUUCGAGUAUUAUGAUGUCUGGUGGUACCGUCAGGCACCCGGUGGUAAUCUUGAAUGGAUGUCUUACCUUAACUAUGAUGGUAGCACUGUAGAAUAUAGCAAAGCAGUGGAGGGCCGAGCCAGUGUCUCCCGGGACAAUUCCCAGUCCAAGUCUUCUCUGUCCCUGAGUGCCCUGGAACCCCAGGACUCAGCCUACUACUUUUGUGCAGUUCCCACAGGGACAGGAAAUCCAGCUGAGCUUUAACACAAACCUAGUGCCAGGGCCCCUUGCCUUCUCUAAGUGUGACACUGCCACAGAGAGGAGCAGCAGAACUGUAUUCAGCUUCUGAAGAGUUGCCUGCAGGGGCACAUAGAAUCAGCAGCAGUGUCAGGGGCAAAUGGCCAGGUCAGGUGGAGUGCAGGAAGAAGAGCUGCACAGGCUUCCUCAUGAAAGGAAGUGCCAAGUGCUGAUCUUCGGUCCUAACAACCCCAUUCUGUAGGCAUUGACAGAUGUAACAAUCCCAUUCAGGCUUGGGGAAGAGUGGAUAGAAAGUGUCCUGACAGAAAAGGAGGACCUGAGGGUUUUGUUUGACAGCCAGCUGAACACGAGCCAGCAGUGUGUCCCAUGGCCAAGAAGGCCAAUGGCAUCCUGACCUGCAUCAGAAACAGUGUGGCCAUCAGGACUAGGGAAGUGCUUGUCCUGCUUAAGCCCCAUUUUGAUGAUUUUGUGAAUCCUCCCUAUCACAUCACCCCAUGCCUUCUGCUCAGCGGCUGCAUCAGUCACUCCCUCACAGGGCUUCUGGUUAUUCUCUCCUUUUCCCCCUUCUUUAUAGUUUAAAGCCCUCCUCAGGAGGUCUGCCAUCCCCUCAGUAGGAACGUUUUUCCAUGCUGUGUGAGACUGGGGCAACGUAAGGCAGCCAGGGCUAGAAGCCUGUGGCUGCUGGUGUGACACACUCCUCCCCACUGCUCACUGCCCCAUGCUCACCUCUUCCUCCACCAAGGAAUCCUCAGGCCUGUGAGAAGCAGGAUGGACACUCAGUGGUAUGUUAUUUUUUAUCCUAUGCAUGACAGGAUUUGUUAGGUAAGGUUGAUGGUUGGACUUGAUGAUCUUACAGGUCUUUUCUAGCCUUAAUGAUUCUACAGUUCUGUGAUUUCCAUGCAUGUCACCAUCUGGGGAUGCAGGCUACUUGUCAAUGACUAUAGCAUCUCAUGAUACCAGCAGGUACACAGGUCCACAUUCCUCUUGUUCUCUCAAGAACAAACAUUCCUUUUCCUACACCUUAUGGAAGGCUGCCAUAUGUGGGUGUGCAGCCCACCACCUCCCGGGACAGUUUCUAGGUGUUGAAAUGUAUUGUCCUGCAUGCCCUGCAUCCACAGGUCUCCACUUGCUACCUCUGUGCUGCCCCAAUGGGGACAGAAAGCUGAGGUUUUCCCUGAAACGAACCUCCUGAUGGGGCUUCUCACUCUUUCCAUGCUCACUCACAUGCUCCAGCAAAGGGGCGAGGCAGGAUGUGGGCUGGGACAGAUUGCAGCUGUGACGUGCUGCCAGAGCAUGAUGCACCAGUAGAGGGGUGUCCAGGGAUUCUCUCAGGUAGUGGAACUACUCAAGAAAUCCCUCAUUACAAGUGAGCCAGAAUGCUGGUUUUGUCUAGGAUAGAGUUAAUUUUCCUCCAAGUGUCUGGUAGGGUGCUGUGUCUUGUACUUAGGGUGAAAAUAAUGUUGAUAACACACUGAUGAUGUAAUUGCUGCAGAGCAGUGCUUACACUAAGCCAAGGACUUUUCAGCUUCUCACGCUCUCCUGCCAGUGGCCAGGCUGGGGAUGCAGCAGGAGCUGUGAUGGGACAGAACCAGGAGAGCUGACCCGAUCUGUCCAAAGGGAUAUUCCAUACCACUGAAAUUCCCCUGAACAAUUAAUAUGGGGUGGCUGGCGGGGAUGGGGACACUGGCUGCUUGGGGAUAGGUUGGGCAUCAGUCAGCGGGUGGUGAGCAAUUGCAUUCUGCAUCACUUUUGUAUGUACUCUUAAUAGUAGUACUUUCAUUUUCAUCAUCAUUAUUGUUAUUAUCUUCCCUUUUCUAUUCCAUUAAAUGGUCUCCAGGUCCACCCACAAGCCUUCAGUUUAAUUUUUAUUUUAUUUUAUCCCCCAUUCCAGAGAAGGAAGGAGGAGUGUGAUUGAAUGGCUAUGUUUUUACAUCUGCACUGCUUCUAGUACGUUCUAUUUACUGAUUC